rnacentral:rRNA from 1 species
GACGAACGCUGGCGGCGUGCCUAAUACAUGCAAGUCGAGCGCAGGAAACUGACGGAACUCUUCGGAGGGAAGGCAGUGGAACGAGCGGCGGACGGGUGAGUAACACGUAAGGAACCUGCCUCAAGGAUUGGGAUAACUCCGAGAAAUCGGAGCUAAUACCGGAUAGUUCAACGGACCGCAUGGUCCGCUGAUGAAAGGCGCUCCGGCGUCACCUUGAGAUGGCCUUGCGGUGCAUUAGCUAGUUGGUGGGGUAACGGCCCACCAAGGCGACGAUGCAUAGCCGACCUGAGAGGGUGAUCGGCCAAACUGGGACUGAGACACGGCCCAGACUCCUACGGGAGGCAGCAGUAGGGAAUCUUCCACAAUGGACGAAAGUCUGAUGGAGCAACGCCGCGUGAGUGAUGAAGGUUUUCGGAUCGUAAAACUCUGUUGUAAGGGAAGAACACGUACGAGAGGAAAUGCUCGUACCUUGACGGUACCUUACGAGAAAGCCACGGCUAACUACGUGCCAGCAGCCGCGGUAACAC